UACGAAGGGGGCUAGCGUUGCUCGGAAUCACUGGGCGUAAAGCGCACGUAGGCGGAUUGCUAAGUCAGGGGUGAAAUCCUGGAGCUCAACUCCAGAACUGCCCUUGAUACUGGCGGUCUCGAGUCCGGGAGAGGUGAGUGGAACUGCGAGUGUAGAGGUGAAAUUCGUAGAUAUUCGCAAGAACACCAGUGGCGAAGGCGGCUCACUGGCCCGGUACUGACGCUGAGGCGCGAAAGCUAGGGGAGCAAACGGG
rnacentral:rRNA from 1 species